rnacentral:rRNA from 1 species
GUGGAUUAGAUACCCUGGUAGUCCACGCAGUAAACGAUGAAUACUAGCUGUAUGCGAUAUACUGUAUGCGGCACAGCGAAAGCGUUAAGUAUUCCACCUGGGGAGUACGUUCGCAAGAAUGAAACUCAAAGGAAUUGACGGGGGCCCGCACAAGCGGAGGAACAUGUGGUUUAAUUCGAUGAUACGCGAGGAACCUUACCCGGGCUUGAAAUGUAGAGGAAUUACUUGGUAACAGGUACGCCAGCAAUGGUCUCUAUGUAGGUGCUGCACGGCUGUCGUCAGCU